AUACGGAGGGUGCAAGCGUUACUCGGAAUUACUGGGCGUAAAGGACGCGUAGGCUGGUUUGCAAGUCAGGGGUGAAAGCCUACAGCUUAACUGUAGAACUGCUCUUGAAACUGCUUACCUAGAGUAUGGGAGAGGUGAAAGGAAUUAGUGGUGUAGGGGUAAAAUCCGUAGAGAUCACUAGGAAUACCGAUUGCGAAGGCGUUUCACUGGAACAUAACUGACGCUAAGGCGUGAAAGCGUGGGGAGCAAACAGGAUUAGAUACCCCAGUAGUCC
rnacentral:rRNA from 1 species